rnacentral:rRNA from 1 species
UACGGGGGGGGCAAGCGUUGUUCGGAAUUACUGGGCGUAAAGGGCUCGUAGGCGGCCAACUAAGUCAGACGUGAAAUCCCUCGGCUCAACCGGGGAACUGCGUCUGAGACUGGAGGGCUUGAAUCCGGGAGAGGGAUGUGGAAUUCCAGGUGUAGCGGUGAAAUGCGUAGAUAUCUGGAGGAACACCGGUGGCGAAGGCGGCAUCCUGGACCGGUAUUGACGCUGAGGCGCGAAAGCCAGGGGAGCAAACAGG